GUGCCUUGUUAGAUCACCUCUAUUUCUAGCUCGCUGAGUAAAAAGAGCAUUUUUUACAGCCUAGUUUGAUAAGUAAAAGGUAUCUUUCUCACCUGCUUGCACUCUGAAUUGUCACUAUCGUGCUUUGUUCCUUUGCAUGCGGCUGUUGUCAGCUUCCGAGUCACAGAACCACUUGCAGGAACGGCUCGGGAGAGUUUUGGAAGAAAGGAGAGGGAAAAAAGGAGCUGCAUUUUUAUUUAACAGAAGAAGGAGAACAUAAAGAAAAGAAAGGUGUUCUCAAGAAUGUAGCCCGCAGCCUUGUCAGGUAGCAUUUCUUCAGAUGUUUUUUUUUUCUCCCCUUUCCCACCCCAAGAUCUCUCUUCAUCAUUUUUUUAAACAUCUCUUCUGGGACAGGGACAUGAAAGUGAAUUGUUGGUCAAAGUCAAGAAUUAGGGGUUGCCGGGGCUGCUUUCUGAUGGCUUUACUUUAUCUUUGUGUCCAAGCUUUUGCCAGUCAGCAGGUACCGCGGGUUAUCCAUUCCAGUCACAUCAUUUUCUGCUUGAUGACAAGCAUCACACCUUCAUCCAUCACAUUUACAUUUCAAACUGCCACACUGCUCUAUUGAUUAAUUAUUUAGCAGCUCUUGGCCACUUGCGAGUGUUUCUGUGCUCACGUUUCACUGAGAAGGUCCGUUCUUUUUAUUUGUGUACGGUUUUGUAAAGCAGAAAAAAUAUGUAAUGCCUUUAGCACACCCACCCGCGUGCAUGUAUGCUAAUAUAUACGACACGGCAAUAUAUAUGCAUAUGUGUGUGCAUGUUUAUGCGUGCGUAUGUGCGUGCAUCGGUACAAUUAAGUACACACAAGGAGUGAGAGCAGGUAAUCUGAUCAAUAAGCACAUGCUCACACUGAUAAUAGGUUUCUGAGUUGUCAGAGACCUGAACAGACGAUCAAUGAGACCUUGCAGGUGUGCUGGAGCCGGGAAUUGGAUCAGCUACAUCCCUGCAGACCAGUGGGAAACUUGCACAUCAUCCUCUGGGCUCUGUCACUCAGAACAAAAAAGGCUGAAAGUCUUUUGCAGGUGCUUGAUAAUGUUUAUGUUUCUUUCACAUCACAGGCAGGAAAAGGGCAGCCUCUACACAAGAGCCAAGGAGAUCUGGUUCCAUCUAGGCCUCCAUUAUCCCAGGCAAAUCACUUCAUCUUUCUUUUCCUCCGUUCUCUUUUGGUGAAAUGGAAAUCCUGUGGCAUCUGGAAAAUAAAUCCACUACUCUGAUGGGAAAGCUGGCUACCCAAAGCACAGAGCAUUUAAAAGCAAAAUACUUCAGUGUCUUCAAGCACGAGACCUCCCACAAGCUCACAGUGAAGUGCACCUCCUAGCCGCUAAUGCAGCUGCAUUUCAGCAUUCUAAUAGGUAUCAGAUGAACGCUGAAGUUGAAAACAACGCAGCCACAUUCUGCCACAUCCUCAAGAAACCAAACAGCACUUCGUUGAUAGCAAUUGGAGAAUGGUCUAAAUGCAGUAGCCUCAGGAGCAACGAGCUACAUGAGAAUGAAGUUUAGGAAACUCCAAGUGAACAGUCUACAUAAAACAGUGACAAGAACACCUCUGAAUAUUAUUGAAUGAAAAAUCAAUUCCCACAGACUCCUUUACCAUAAAAAAUCACUACAUCACAAAUCUUGUCAAAUUAUUCUUAAAGUUUAAUUCAGCACUUCUGUGAAAGUGAUUCAAUUGGUAUGUAUCCAUAUUCGUGCUAUGUUGUUGAAUCUCUGUGUAUGGACAGGUUUUUUUUUUUUUUUUUGGCACAUAAUCUCUUCUAUAGAUUUUUCUUAAUCUAUUUUUUUUUCUUUUACUAUAAUCAGUCAUCUUUACCACACAAUAGGACCCAAAGAAAAUACUGAAAUAAAAGUCCAUAUAAUCAAUUUUGGUCACUGUGGCAUGUAGAAAAGUUUCUACAGAUUAACUAAAAAAAAACCUACUGUUUCUGCUCAUCUGUAGUUGCUAUAGAACAGAUACUACUGAUGCAGAGCAGACUCCCAGUGACUGAAUCAUCUGUUCUUCAAAACUGCAAGUCUGCUACAAGCUGAUUGCUUAUCUUGCGGGCUCUCCCAAUGUCUGUAUGAAUAAGAAGAGGAAAAAAAGAUUUAGUAGGGAUAAUGUCCAAACAAGAAAGUAAUAUACAAAUAUUCAUUUAAAUUCCAUCCCAUCAAGAAACCUGUAUAACCUCUAAUUCUCAGGGUGAUAUCUUCCAUAGAAUCAUAGAAUAGAAUCAUAGAAUCACUGAGUUGGAAGGGUCUCUUACAGGUCAACUAGUCCAAAAUUCCUGCAAUAACAGGGAUACCUACCGCUUGAUCAGGUGCUCAGAGCCCUAUCCAGCCUAACCUUGAAUGUCUCAAAGGGCAUCCACCAUCUCUCUGGUCAACCUGUGCCAGUGCUUCCCCACCCUUAUUAUGAAAGACUUCUUCCAUAUAUCCAGUAUAAAUCUCCCCUCUUUUAGUCUGAAACCAUUUCCCCUUUGGGAGCUGUAAGACACCAUGAAAACACUGCUGCAUUGUCUUUAACAGUAUGUGAAUGAAAGUAUUGUACUGGCAGAGUAUCACAAGAAAUAAUUCAUGUAGUAUAUUUUCAUUUCCAUUUAACAAAUAAUUUGUUGCCCAAAUAAAAUUGUUACUGUGGAGAUUCCAAAAGCUUAUAUUUGGGAUGAUAUAGUAAUUUGAGAGAUGUAUUUUGAGCAUCAGCUAAGGGAACUCACUGGAAUUCUGAGACAUAAAUAUACCUGCAUGAAAAUCAGGGUAAAUAGGGCAUUACUGGCAUUGUAUUUAAAAACACAAAACAAAAAUUAUAAAACUUUAUAUAAAUAUAGACACUUUUGCCCAGGAUGCAGGAGACUAAUCAAGUUUCUUGUGAUGAAAAUUUCCUUUUUAUUAUCAUUAUUGUCUAUUAUUUGCAUUGUGAUAUGCCUUCAGGCCCUGAACUAGAAGCCAGGUUCCAUUAUAAUGGAUAUUGAGCAUGUAAUGAAAAGACAGCCUCCCCCUCUGAAGUGUUCUUGAGCUAAAUUUAUGACUAUAUUGCAGUCAGAAGACAGAAGUGACUGCAAGCAGCAUGGAGAUGCUGGAGUCAGUUUUAAGUUAGGCAGCUUGGUAACCUAGCCUCAGGAGCAGGGGCUCGGCGAGGGCUAAUUACCCUUCCUUCUUGGCAGAUUUUGCAAAGGCAAUACAGAAAAAAAGCAAAAAGUGAAUCUGGAGGGGAAGAAUAAAGACUAAAGAGCAGGAAAAGCUGGCACUGCUAUCAGAUUUUGCAUGUAAACAAAUGGCUCAGGAGCACACAAGGGGUAGAGGGAAGGGAAGGUUAGAAGUAAAUAUAGAUUUUGCAGUUACACCCUGUCUAAUGGCAAAAUCCCUGCUGGAUGGGAGCUGUGCAAAUUAGCUUGCCAUCUUUGCUGUACACAGGAUGCUCCUGGUGGAGGAACAUGCAGCUAGCAUCCCUCGAUGCCACUAGGGAUUAAUUGAGCAUAAUGUCUUUUGGAAAGUAACAGCAUUUUCUUGGAAGGCAACAAGGGAAAACUGAUAGUUUUGCUGUGUUACUGAGUUUCAUAAUGAAAUGUUGCCAUACGGUGAAUCCUUGUUGCCUCAUUACUCUUAAACCUUUAUUAAAAAAAGCUUUUUAAUUGUAUUACUUAAUUGUUUAAUUUGGGGAUCUCAUUGCACAGUUCCGUUCUAGAUAUAUGUUUGGGAUCUCCUGGAUGAGACAGCACCAUAGUUAAAAGUUGGGAAUACAAAAAUUAAGGUCAGAUGGACCAUUUUCCCUCCUUUCCAAGAAACAUUUUCAGAUACAGUCUAAUUAUAUUGCCCAUUACUUUUUACAUGUUUUGACUUUACAAAUCCUCAAAUACAGUGCUUGACCUGGAAAACUGCUAUGUCCCUAACUGUAAAGCCUUAACAUUUAUAUUAUUCCAUAAUUUUCAGCUCUUUGAGAUUCAAAUAUCAGAUCAUGCUGGAAAAAAACUUAGGAAAUUCUUAAGGUAAAAUCUUACAUAGUCAGGAAAAAGUGUGCAGCUAGAUGGCUAAAAGAUGGGAAUUCUCAACUCAGCAGGAAUGGAAACUCAUUUUCAAAUGGUAAUAAAUGGCUUAUUUAACAAUUGGUAGUUUUAAAGUUAAGCAUAAGCAGACAAUAUCAUUAAAGUGUUCAACCUUUUGCAUUAGGGUUCAGAAGAAGAAGAAGAAAAAGUUUCCAGCAGUUUUAAUUGUGCUUGAUUUCCUCCUGAAUUCCAUUGUGAAGAUUUUGACUUAUGCAGAUUUCACUGAACUGGACACUCCCAAGCUGUAACAUGCUACGUGGUGAAAAUAUCUAUGGGUAACGGGAACAAAACUAAUAGUGCAACAGGCAGGAUAAUUCUGGGUUAACACAUCAGGUGAAAUCUCAGUGCCACUGACAUACAGAACUCCUUUGUUGCAUUUUGUGAGCCUGGAAGUUCUUAUGGGAAUACUGCAGUGUAUGCAGGUGUCUGAGAAAUGACAAUCUUUCCGUACCAGGUAAGGCUCAGCUGUAUAUUCUGUAUCUCCUUCACUACAGAUAGACACCAUUACCAGCUUUAAAAUCCUUUCCUUUAGCAUUUGUUCUCAGGCUAUUUCUGUAACUCAAUGCAAAGUAGGAAAAUUGCCGGGCUGCAUUCCCAAAGUACUUAGUGAGGCAAAGGGACAAGAGAGAAGAGGAAACAAAGAGAAGGCAGAUUUUCUAAACAGGGAAAUCUGCUAUGUAUCUCUGCAACCAUUUCUUCUGCUGCUUCUCAGUAAAUCUAAGCAUUUUCUUCAUACUUCAUACAUAAUUUUUCUUCAUACUUCAUUCUUCAUACAAAUUUACCUUUCUUGAAGUUCUGUUACAAAUAGCAUAGAUUUUAUAGGUUAGCAGAACCAUUCCUAGUUACCAGCAUGGUGUUAGGGAUAAAAACUUUCUACAUCGACAAAAAUGUUAAUGUAGUUGGUCUACAAGGUUGUAGAUAUCAACCUGAUCUGGAAGAAAAGAUUUCAUCAUAGAAGCUUCCUUCCUUCCUUCAUUCCUUCGUUCGU
ensembl:lncRNA